rnacentral:rRNA from 1 species
GAUGAACGCUGGCGGCGUGCCUAAUACAUGCAAGUCGAACGAAACUUCUUUAUCACCGAGUGCUUGCACUCACCGAUAAAGAGUUGAGUGGCGAACGGGUGAGUAACACGUGGGCAGCCUGCCCAAAAGAGGGGGAUAACACUUGGAAACAGGUGCUAAUACCGCAUAACCAUAGUUACCGCAUGGUAACUAUGUAAAAGGUGGCUAUACUACCGCUUUUGGAUGGGCCCGCGGCGCAUUAGCUAGUUGGUAGGGUAAAGGCUUACCAAGGCAAUGAUGCGUAGCCGAAUUGAGAGGUUGAUCGGCCACAUUGGGACUGAGACACGGCCCAAACUCCUACGGGAGGCAGCAGUAGGGAAUCUUCCACAAUGGGCGAAAGCCUGAUGGAGCAACGCCGCGUGGGUGAAGAAGGUCUUCGGAUCGUAAAACCCUGUUGUUAGAGAAGAAAGUGCGUGAGAGUAACUGUUCACGUUUCGACGGUAUCUAACCAGAAAGCCGCGGCUAACUACGUG